ensembl:rRNA 5S_rRNA 5S ribosomal RNA
GUUGGCCGUCAGCUAGCUCUCUGCAACUAUCACAUGGUUGCCCACUGCAGCUAAGCAGGGCUGCGCCUGGUCAGUACCUGGAUGGGAGAUCAAAUGAGAAAGCUAGGUUGCUGCCAGAA